CCUUACUCUCCAGUCUUCACUUCAAAAAAAAAACUUUAACAAAAAAUAUUCGAGCACUCAACCUCCAUUACCACUGCACACUACUCUGGUUAGGGCGACGUGAUUCACAUCCUCAACGACUGAUCCCCAUUACCCGGAUCAACCGAUGACGGCCUGAAUCUAUUCCUCCGAAGAAAAUUCCUCGAUCAUCUUCAACAAUCGCAUCAACCCUUGUAUUAAAAACCCUAAUUUUGGAUUUGGGUUCCGCCGCUGCCGACGAAAAAAUUGCCGUCUCACGGAGGAAGAUAUGAACGAAGAGAGAAGUAGCUAGAAGGGUCAAUAUGAAUAUCCUGAGUUGUGAUGCCGUCGGUGAACACCGGCCGGUUAGCUGCUACCACGGAUUCAUCCGAGCGAGUGGUACCAAAAGUGAGGGAAAUGACAUAGCCACCACAGCAAGAGAGGAGAAAGAUUGGGGCGAAGGAGGGAAGAGCAUUGGAGAAGUUGAUGAGAAGUUGAAGGUGAGCUGAGGUUAUUAUUAUGCUUGAGAUUUGUGGAUUAGUGUUGUUGGAGAUUAUGCGUGUGAAAGAAUGAUUAAAAGUUCUGGGCAGAAAUCUCUAUGCCUCAUAUAACUGAAGCAUUUGUGUAGGGUCUUUUGCGACCUCAAACCGUACCACAGCACAUUGUCUACACUAAGGUUUGAGGAAUUGGUUUCAGUUGGAUCAAAGAAGAUGAUACCUAUGACCCGAGGAAUGCCAAAAAGCUCGACAAAGAAGGGCACUCCUGCUAUUCUUGAAGUUGGUUCAGAAGUUGAAGUUUUGGCAGCGAAUUUCCUGUUCUGGACAAAGUGAAGAAUUCAGACAUAGAAAAGGAGAUUCUAGAGGUAGCUAACAUUGCAAAAGAAGACAUAGAAGCUCUGACAUUAUCUACCAUUAUAGUUUUAUUUAUUUUGAAGUCUUUUGAUGUUUUGGACAACUUGUGAUAGAUAUAUCGUUUUAGGAUUAUUUUAUAGAUUUUGAAUGGUUAAUUAUUUUGUAUUGGUUAUGGGUAAAUUUACGGUAAUUGAAUACUUAUUUGGUGGUGAUUGCUUAUUACUGGAACAAAAUGGUUCAACGCUUUGGAUAUUGAUGA